rnacentral:rRNA from 1 species
GAUGAACGCUGGCGGCGUGCCUAAUACAUGCAAGUCGAGCGAACAGAUGAGGAGCUUGCUCCUCUGACGUUAGCGGCGGACGGGUGAUUAACACGUGGAUAACCUACCUAUAAGACUGGGAUAACUUCGGGAAACCGGAGCUAAUACCGGAUAAUAUAUUGAACCGCAUGGUUCAAUAGUGAAAGACGGUUUUGCUGUCACUUAUAGAUGGAUCCGCGCCGCAUUAGCUAGUUGGUAAGGUAACGGCUUACCAAGGCAACGAUGCGUAGCCGACCUGAGAGGGUGAUCGGCCACACUGGAACUGAGACACGGUCCAGACUCCUACGGGAGGCAGCAGUAGGGAAUCUUCCGCAAUGGGCGAAAGCCUGACGGAGCAACGCCGCGUGAGUGAUGAAGGUCUUCGGAUCGUAAAACUCUGUUAUUAGGGAAGAACAAAUGUGUAAGUAACUAUGCACGUCUUGACGGUACCUAAUCAGAAAGCCACGGCUAACUACGUG